UACGAAGGGGGCUAGCGUUGCUCGGAAUUACUGGGCGUAAAGGGCGCGUAGGCGGAUAGUUUAGUCAGAGGUGAAAGCCCAGGGCUCAACCUUGGAAUUGCCUUUGAUACUGGCUGUCUUGAGUUCGGGAGAGGUGAGUGGAACUGCGAGUGUAGAGGUGAAAUUCGUAGAUAUUCGCAAGAACACCAGUGGCGAAGGCGGCUCACUGGCCCGAUACUGACGCUGAGGCACGAAAGCGUGGGGAGCAAACAGG
rnacentral:rRNA from 1 species